GAUGGAAGAACGCAGCAAAAUGCGAUAAGUAAUGUGAAUUGCAGAAUUCAGUGAAUCAUCGAAUCUUUGAACGCACAUUGCGCCCGCUGGUAUUCCGGCGGGCAUGCCUGUUCGAGCGUCAUUUCAACCCUCAAGCCCCCGGGUUUGGUGUUGGGGAUCGGCUCUGCCCUUCUGGGCGGUGCCGCCCCCGAAAUACAUUGGCGGUCUCGCUGCAGCCUCCAUUGCGUAGUAGCUAACACCUCGCAACUGGAACGCGGCGCGGCCAUGCCGUAAAACCCCAACUUCUGAAUGUUGACCUCGGAUCAGGUAGGAAUACCCGCUGAACUUAAGCAUAUCAAUAAGCGGAGGA
rnacentral:misc_RNA from 1 species